AACGAACGCUGGCGGCAUGCCUAACACAUGCAAGUCGAACGAGACCUUCGGGUCUAGUGGCGCACGGGUGCGUAACGCGUGGGAACCUGCCCUUAGGUUCGGAAUAACUCCCCGAAAGGGGUGCUAAUACCGGAUAAUGUCUUCGGACCAAAGAUUUAUCGCCUUUGGAUGGGCCCGCGUUGGAUUAGCUAGUUGGUAGGGUAAAAGCCUACCAAGGCGACGAUCCAUAGCUGGUCUGAGAGGAUGAUCAGCCACACUGGGACAGGGACACGGCCCAGACUCCUACGGGAGGCAGCAGGGGGGAAGAAUGGACAAUGGGCGAAAGACUGAUCCAGCAAUGCCGCGUGAGUGAUGAAGGCCGUAGGAUUGUAAAGCUCUUUUACCCGGGAUGAUAAUGACAGUACCGGGAGAAUAAGCUCCGGCUAACUCCGU
rnacentral:rRNA from 1 species